UGAUGAAGAUUUAGCCCAAAAUAGAAACACAAAUGUAGUACAUGAAACUAGAGCUGCCCUUCAAUGGCAGAAGCAGAGAAAACUGGAAGAAAUACAAUAAAGGGAAAGAUGGGAGAUAGAAAAGAAGCAGAAAACAAAACAUCAUCAAAGUCGAAGUGGCCUCUCAUUAAACACAAGAAGAAUCUCCAAAUUACUCGUCUCAAAGAGAACGAUCUCUUUACUCUAAGUUUUAUCGUUUCUUUUGGACAAAUUUCUGUUAUUUACGGUCAAGAUUUAGUAAUUGCAAUCAUGCCCACUUUGGUUUUUUAAGUGUUUGAAUGAUUUUUUUAUUUAAAGUUCUGUUCUUUGAGUGGUUUUUUGACAUGGGUUCUUGUAGUUGGGUUAGGGAAUUGACUGUAAAGGGGUGAAAUUGAAAGGGAUAUGAGAAAGAGGGGGCUUAGUUAAAGUUUAAAUCUUUGAGCUUUGAUUGUGGUGAAGGGAUUAAAUAUGAAGCUGGUUUUGAGAAUUGAGAGCCAUUUUCUUCAUUUUUGAGAUGAGUUGUGUGGGGUUUAAGAUUGUUGAAUGAUUAUAUGAUUAAUAAUCUUAGUUUGGACUUGUUUCUAUUGUUUGUUUUUAGAGCUUGGAUAUGAUGUUAGUUUGACUAGCUGAGCUCAAAAGGUAUGUUGUUUGGUGUCCAUAGUUUCCUUUAGAGUGAUUAAUGAAGGUUUCCCCUUGGGUUGCAUAGUGAUGUGCAAUCAGAAGUAAUAGAUUUUGGGUCUCUUGAAGAUCAGGUUUGAUGUGAAUUGAGAUUAUAAGGUAAGAGUUAUGUCAUGAGAAUUUCGAGAAAAGAGGAAAAAUCCGUAAGCAAAUAUAGUCUCUAUCUGAAGCACAUGCCUGGACUGGAUACCUGCAGUUUUCGUUAAAAAUAACAAAUCUUUGUUCAGCUGUAUGAAGUGAGGAAAAUUUGAAUUAUUUGAUCCUGGCGUGAAGGGUAAGUCCUGGAUAUGCUUGUAGAAGCAAUUUUUCUUUCUUGCUUUUUUUGGCCAUUUUAUUAUUGAAAUAGUUAUAAUUCGUGUAGUAAAUUCAGGUGCAAGAUUUCUUCUCUUCUGCUGAAUCAAAGGCGUUUGUUAAAGUCGCAGAAUCUAUUGGCUUUGUUCACCCAGGGAGUCUUGGUCCAUUACAUGGUGAAGCUUAAAGAGAUAAUGACAGAAUUUCUGUCAAUGAUCCUUUUCUUGCAAAUAUGUUAUGGAGUCAGGACUUAGCAAAUUAUUUUCUGAUAUUAAAAUGCAGGGGGGGGGGGGGGGGUUACUGUCGGCUUGAAUCCAAAUAUCAGAUUUUACAGGUGGCUCCUGCUGAAGGGAUGGUUCUCCUACAUAUUCAUGGGGUCAAGUGUAUGCUGCAUGAAGCUCAGAAUGUUACUAAGGGUGUUAAAUACAUUUUCCGUUCAGAUGCAUGUUUUGCUUGAAUCUCUAAGAUCCUUUUUAUAUCAAGCAAUCUCUGUAAGUUUUUCACUUUAGUUCCCUCAACUUAUACUGUCUUAUAUUUUCCUGUGUUAAAACAGGAUCCCGACUUCUUGUAAUAUUUUUAUUUUUUCUUGGGUUCAUCUUGGGAUUACAUUUGAAAUUCUGGCAUAUCUUGUUGUAAUUUACUAUUCUUCUUAGACAAACCCAAUUUUUGUAUUGUGGAGGUAACUCAACAUGUAGAAUGAGCCGGCCUUGGUGUAGCUCUUGUAAUGCCAGGAUCAUUUAUCUAAGAGAAGUUUGUGGAUUC